CGUGUACUAGACCUAAAUACUCCAGUUGGUAACCAAAACGGAUUUCAUUAGAAGAUUGUGAAUAAUUCCGUUCUUCCGGCCUCUCCGUUCGUAGGGGCGGAAUUUGCUUCGCCGGGCACAAGCGAUCGAGGGCACCACUCCACGGCAAGGUGCAUAAUGCCUCGACUGGGGGACCCAGAUGCUCAUUUGGUACCGAGAGUUUUUUCUGAGAUUGCAUAUGUCUAUUGCAUCCACUAUUUUAGUCCAAACAAGACCUCCCUAUAUUUACUCUCAGAUUGGUAUGAUUUAUUUGGAGGAUGCCUUUUGAUGGCAUGUAACGCUAUGUACUUAGUCCUAGACAAGAUUGACUCGCCCAAUGCACGACCAUGGAGUAGAGGAAGAUUUUAGAUACAUGAUUAUGCAUGCUAUCCUUAAUUGCUCAGUUCAAAUUGAGAUGUGAUAACGUUGAUAUGUACAGCAUCAUAUUCUAGUCUAGGAUAACUAUUCGUUUUACUUGAAAUUCGAAGCAGAUUGAUUCUAUCAGUUAAUGCAAAUAACAGUCCUGGAA